GAUGAAGAACGCAGCGAAAUGCGAUAAGUAAUGUGAAUUGCAGAAUUCAGUGAAUCAUCGAAUCUUUGAACGCACAUUGCGCCCGCCAGUAUUCUGGCGGGCAUGCCUGUUCGAGCCUCAUUUCAACCAUCAAGCCCCAGGCUUGUGUUGGGGACCUGCGGCUGCCGCAGGCCCUGAAAACCAGUGGCGGGCUCGCUGUCACACCGGGCGUAGUAGAUUUUAUCUCGCUCAGGGCGUGCUGCGGGUUCCGGCCGUUAAAAAGCCUUUUUUACCCAAGGUUGACCUCGGAUCAGGUAGGAAUACCCGCUGAACUUAAGCAUAUCAAUAAGCGGAGGA
rnacentral:misc_RNA from 1 species